AUAAGAAUGUCCUUCUCAGUUUCACAUUUAAAAGUCUUCUAUCCAAACAGGUUUUUUCUAUAUUUUCUUGCUGCCACUUGCCAGAGGUUACAUGAGUUAUGAGCUGUUGAGAGAAUAAUUUUCAAAACACAAUAGGAAAACUAUUGAGAAGAAUGUGCAAUACUAUAAAAAAUGGUUAAAUUUGGGCUGCAGACAAAAGUCCUAGGUGGGUUUGUCCGCAGUUUCCACGGUGGCCUCACCAGUGUUUGCCCAUUUGGGCCUCAAGUGGCCUACAUGGGCUCCCCAAUGUGGGACCCAUUU